rnacentral:lncRNA from 12 species
GGGCUGCUUGAGCCCUGCAUGAGCAAAAGUGAGCAAUGCAAGCUCCUCCUCUUCAACAGGUUCCUGUAAGGGAGAUCGAGGGAGUUGCCCCUUCUUCGAGACUUGAGCCAGAAGAGGCACAGUGGCAAAAGCAGGACACAGACUGUACAGUUUACUCUGUGCAAGUUGUAAACUCCAUGGAGCAGGUGUUUGUACAGUGCAUAGCACAGCAGGACCCAGGUUUCAUCAAGGUGUCUGGACAUGCUCUUAUGUAAGUAAGGGUCCUCUGUCUUGUGAGCAAAUAGAAUAGUUCACAUUAGCUGAACUUGUAGAGUUUCCUGUGUGCAGGCUGAUGAGAAAAGGGAUUUUUCUUUCCAGGCUGAGAGGGGCUUUGCAAAUGUUCUCCCAAAUCACAGCGGCAGCUGGCUCUUUGGGCACUGGACAAAGACAUGAUUUGGAAAUAGCUUCAAAGUUUAGAGAUGGCUCUUCAGAUACUAAUGCUCCCAGAUGAGUUAAGUGGGGAAGUUCACACCUCUUGUGGUGCUUUUGUUUCAGUCUGCCAGGCUGCAGACUCAGCGCCAGUGCAGCAUGCAGGUUUUCAGUGAGAGAGCUUUUGUCGAUCCCAGAAGUGCUAGAAACUUAAUUGCUUUCAAAGGCAAGCAUGGAAUCUGGAGGACCCGGUACAACCUGCUGAGAGAACAUAAAUCAUGAGAUACUAUCACGUUUCUGCGCUUGGGCUUGCAUGGAGUGAGUUUGCUUUGUGAGCGAAUG